ensembl:processed_transcript 1700108F19Rik RIKEN cDNA 1700108F19 gene
GAGCCCAGUGCUCUGGUCUCUAUUAUGUACUGCCUCACAUUUCUUUCUGUUGAUUGUUGUCUGUGUGGAAAGUCAGAGUUGGGAGCAGGGGCUAUGAAGUCAAGCACAUAGGUGGAGCGUAAGGGAGAGGGAGAUGGAUGAGGUCAUACUAUUGCAAUCACUUGGGAAAAAAUACACAAACUUCCAAAACUGCAAGAUGCUUUCUACUGCCACCAGACCUCCUUUGGAGGUUUUCCUACCGCUUAAUAACCAGGAACUUGUUGGCGUCUGACAGAGCAUCUCAGAUUUCUUACAUAAAAUGUGGAAUUGUCAAUAGUCAGAUGCAUCAGUGGCCAAGGCUAUGGUGUGCAGUUUCUAUCAGCGUGUACAGGACAUCCUGCCUGGUUUUGGCCUCAAGGAAGCAAUGGUGAGAUUUCGUAGCUCAUCGUCUCCUGGUUGGAGCAAAGGGUGCCAAACAGAGGUCAAGCUCGGGCCACAGGGAAACUGGGAAAAUACGUUCAUUGCCAUGUGCGAGGAGUCCAGUGGAUUUCAGAAAUCUUCUGUGUCUUCUUAUAGGAUACAGUGACAGCCCCUUACUGGAAGAACAUUUUAGGUAAUCCCCACGACAGGGUGACAUACACUGAUGUUGGAGCAUUUAAAUAAAAAGAGUCUCACUGUGUA